CUGGGUCCCAUCGCAUAAGAGGAAUUUAGAAAAUCCAUUGUAUCAAAAUCACCAGGUGUUACACAAACUAAGCCGUGUGUGCGACUGAAGAAUAAUGCUUCCAUUUCAGCUAUUGCCGGAUUGGACAGAUUUAAUGGGUAAAUAUACUUCUCGGUGUAGAAGAAGAGAUGGGUACGUGUAACGAUAAAGCGUAAAUUGUGACAAUCCUUUUCAGUGCCAAUAUUGUAAAAUUGCGUAAGUUUAAGUGGAAGGAAACUUUGUAGCUUCAUUGAUUCGGCUUCCGUAACAACGAUGGCUAAAUAUUAAAAAAGUAAUAAUUUAGCAAUAUUGCCAUUACGGAAACAAUCGUUUUAUUUAAAUAAACCUACCAACGCCAUAGUGUAUUUGAGGGGCGUGUGCUGUAUUGACAGCACCGGCGAGCACAUAAAUUUUACCAUCACAAAUAUGCAUAUCCAAAAGAUUUAAAUUUAUAUCCGGACUAUCUGCACAAUGAAUAUUUGUGAUAUUAUUAAUUAGUAAAAAAUUAAUUACUUAGUCAAAACAAUUUCA